UCAAUUGGAGUCAANNNNAGAAAUCUUACCUGGGGAGACAGCAGAAUGAAGGUCAAGCUGAAGACUUUACCAGACACGCUGAGAGGUGGUGCAUGGCCGUCGCCAGCUCGUGCCGUGAGAUGUCCUGUUAAGUCAGGUAACGAGCGAGACCCCUGCGUCUAGUUGCUACCAUUACUCUCUGGAGCAGUGGAGCGAAUUAGACGGACCGCCACAGUUAAUGUGGAGGAAGGAAGGGGCCACGGCAGGUCAGUAUGCCCCGAAACCCUAGGGCUACACGCGGGCUGCAAUGGUAUUGACAAUGUGUUCCGAAUCCGAAAGGAGGAGGCAAUCAUCAAACAAUAUCUCAGUUAUGACUGAGGGCUGUAACUCGCCCUCACGAAUAUGGAAUCCCUAGUAACC
rnacentral:rRNA from 1 species